CUUAGUGGGUACAUAACAUUUGACUAAAAUUAUAGGUGUUUUUUCAAAGAAAUGCUAGGUCAAGCCACGCUUAAUGCCACAUCCAAAUCGAUAUGAUUAGUAAGUCAAUGGCCGUAUCAUCAUAGUCGAGUGAGGUUGUUAAUGGCUGCAAUUUACACUUUUCUAAAUACCAUGAUCACAAUAAAACAUGCUAAUAAAUAUAAUAAUCCUUCAUGCACUUUUAGCCCCUGAAGUUUGAUGGAUUUGCUCUCCAGGUGAAAACAUGUGAUCUAGCCUUUGUUGAUUGGAUCAUGACAAUGGCGACAUGUGUACGCCCCGUUUCCUUUUGAAUGUGUUGCUUUAGAAGGGCUUUAUUGUGCGGUCCGAGUGUUGUAAUUGGUGGUGGAUGACGUUGAUGAUGAUGACGUGUGUUAUGUUGAUGUGACAUGAUCACUUGUCAUGUCCUUUAUUUUGUUUUAUUUGUUUUGCAUAUGCUCGUGCAAAUGAUCUUGAUUCAACCACAUCAACUUGAUGUCAUGAUGCGAGAUAGACCUUAUUGAGAAAAUAAAGUCACUAAUGCGAUAUUUUCCUUCCUACAAGAAACUAUACAAUGCAAUGCAGGAAUAUUUUCAACGACGACACUUUUGGAGUGGUGAGUAUUGGGCCUCCAUAGGCCUAUUUUUUUUAAAAAAAGAGAGUAUAUAGGACUGGGCCUGUAAAAAUACUCUAGACAUUCAAAUUUUAAUUUUGUAUAGAUUUUUUACCUUCAUCUUAAUACAAUUCUAAAUAAAAUUAAGCUUGGUAAUCUUGUAAACAUGUCACUAAUGAUUUAAUCACCCAUCCAAUAGUCAAUUUUUUGGCCCGAACUUGCCUGGUUCAAAAAAUGUUUUACCAAUGGUUUCUCAUAAUUGUUUAUAAUGGAUAGAAAGGUGAAAUUUUCAUAAUGCUCUUGUUUUUUCUCUCUUUUCUUCCUUUUAUUUCUUUCUUCCUUCCCAUUCUUUUUUUUCCUCUCUAUUUCCCAUCCCUCUCUUUCUUAUCCGUUCUCUG
rnacentral:lncRNA from 1 species